UCUGGCUCAGAGUGAACGCUGGCGGUAGGCCUAACACAUGCAAGUCGAACGGCAGCACAGUAAGAGCUUGCUCUUAUGGGUGGCGAGUGGCGGACGGGUGAGGAAUACAUCGGAAUCUACUCUGUCGUGGGGGAUAACGUAGGGAAACUUACGCUAAUACCGCAUACGACCUACGGGUGAAAGCAGGGGAUCUUCGGACCUUGCGCGAUUGAAUGAGCCGAUGUCGGAUUAGCUAGUUGGCGGGGUAAAGGCCCACCAAGGCGACGAUCCGUAGCUGGUCUGAGAGGAUGAUCAGCCACACUGGAACUGAGACACGGUCCAGACUCCUACGGGAGGCAGCAGUGGGGAAUAUUGGACAAUGGGCGCAAGCCUGAUCCAGCCAUACCGCGUGGGUGAAGAAGGCCUUCGGGUUGUAAAGCCCUUUUGUUGGGAAAGAAAUCCAGCCGGUUAAUACCUGGUUGGGAUGACGGUACCCAAAGAAUAAGCACCGGCUAACUUCGUGCCAGCAGCCGCGGUAAUACGAAGGGUGCAAGCGUUACUCGGAAUUACUGGGCGUAAAGCGUGCGUAGGUGGUCGUUUAAGUCCGUUGUGAAAGCCCUGGGCUCAACCUGGGAACUGCAGUGGAUACUGGGCGACUAGAGUGUGGUAGAGGGUAGCGGAAUUCCUGGUGUAGCAGUGAAAUGCGUAGAGAUCAGGAGGAACAUCCAUGGCGAAGGCAGCUACCUGGACCAACACUGACACUGAGGCA
rnacentral:rRNA from 1 species